rnacentral:rRNA from 1 species
CCUACGGGAGGCAGCAGGGGGGAAUAUUGGACAAUGGGCGCAAGCCUGAUCCAGCCAUACCGCGUGGGUGAAGAAGGCCUUCGGGUUGUAAAGCCCUUUUGUUGGGAAAGAAAUCCAGCCGGCUAAUACCUGGUUGGGAUGACGGUACCCAAAGAAUAAGCACCGGCUAACUUCGUGCCAGCAGCCGCGGUAAUACGAAGGGUGCAAGCGUUACUCGGAAUUACUGGGCGUAAAGCGUGCGUAGGUGGUUAUUUAAGUCCGUUGUGAAAGCCCUGGGCUCAACCUGGGAACUGCAGUGGAUACUGGAUGACUAGAAUGUGGUAGAGGGUAGCGGAAUUCCUGGUGUAGCAGUGAAAUGCGUAGAGAUCAGGAGGAACAUCCAUGGCGAAGGCAGUUACCUGGACCAACAUUGACACUGAGGCACGAAAGCGUGGGGAGCAAACAGGAUUAGAUACCCUGGUAGUCCACGCCCUAAACGAUGCGACGUGGUGUUGGUGCUAAUUUGGCACGCGAGUAUACGAGACUACGUACGUUACGUUACGUCCGCCGUCGGGUAGGUACGGUCGGCGACGAACGUAGUAACGUUACGAAAGUAGUUAAGUUAGUACGGCGUUGAGACGNGCGACGGACGACGACGAGGGAGGAGG